GACGAACGCUGGCGGCGUGCUUAACACAUGCAAGUCGAGCGACGCGCCUUCGGGUGACGGAGCGGCGAACGGGUGAGUAACACGUGGGCAACCUGCCCCUAGCUCUGGGAUAACUCCGGGAAACCGGGGCGUAAUACCGGAUAUGACAGUCGGCGGCAUCGUCGGGUGUGGAAAGUUUUUCGGUCUAGGAGUGGCCCGCGGCCUAUCAGCUUGUUGGUGGGGUGGAUGGCCUACCAAGGCGACGACGGGUAGCCGGCCGUGAGAGGGCGACCGGCCACACUGGGACUGAGACACGGCCCAGACUCCUACGGGAGGCAGCAGUGGGGAA
rnacentral:rRNA from 1 species